rnacentral:rRNA from 1 species
GCCAAAAGUAUAGCCCACUAACAAUUUAUAAACCCUCACACUUUAUCUCUCAAAUUAAAACAUUUUACAGGUCUAGUAAAGGCGAUUAAAAAACCUUCUAAGAGCAUAAAAGUACCGCAAGGGAAAAUUGAAAUAAAAAUGAAAUAAAUAUUAAGCACAAAAUAGUAGAGACUGAUUCUCGUACCUUUUGCAUCAUGGUUUAACAAGUCUAAUCAAGCACAAUGACUUAUAGUUUGAUUUCCCGAAACUAAGUGAGCUACUUCAGGGCAGCUUAUUGAGCAAACCCGUCUCUGUUGCAAAAGAGUGGCAAGACCCUUAAGUAGAAGUGAUAAGCCUAACGAACUUAGUGAUAGCUGGUUACUCAAGAAAAAGAUUUUAGUCCCACCUAAAGCUUUAAUAAUUUAACAAAAUAAAAUUUCAACUUUAGAGCAAUUCAAAUAGGGUACAGCCUAUUUGAAGCAGGAUACAACCUAAACUAAUGGGUAAUACUAUAUUCACGUAAUAAAGUGGGCCUAAAAGCAGCCAACUUUAAGAUAGCCUCAAAGCCCCAUUACCCCCCCCCAAAAAAAAUCUCCUAAAGUAAGUCGAACCCUUUAAUUCUAUUGAGUAAUUCUAUAUUGUUAUAGAAUUUAUAAUGUUAAAACUAGUAACAAGAAGAAGCCCUUCUCUUACAAUGCAAGUAUAAAUCAGCAAGGACCCCCCACUGAUAAUUAACGCACAUGAAACUAUAUUAGUAACUCCUCAAGAAAACCCCAAUAAAUUUUACGUUAACCUAACACAAGAGCAUUAAAAGAAAGAUUAAAAAAAAAAGAAGGAACUCGGCAAACAAUGACCCCGCCUGUUUACCAAAAACAUC